ACUAGUGACCAGAGAGGUCUAUGGGUCCUGUUUAACACUAGUGACCAGAGAGGUCUAUGGGUCCUGUUUAACACUAGUGACCAGAGAGGUCUAUUGGGUCCUGUUUAACACUAGUGACCAGAUAAGUCUAUGGGUCCUGUUUAACACUAGUGACCAGAGAGCUCUAUUGGGUCCUGUUUAACACUAGUGACCAGAGCUCUAUUGGGUCCUGGUUAACACUAGUGACCAGAGGUCUAUGGGUCCUGGUUAACACUAGUGACCAGAGAGGUCUAUUGGGUCCUGUUUAACACUAGUGACCAGAGAGGUCUAUGGGUCCUGUUUAACACUAGUGACCAGAGAGGUCUAUGGGUCCUGGUUAACACUAGUGACCAGAGAGGUCUAUGGGUCCUGGUUAACACUAGUGACCAGAGAGGUCUAUGGGUCCUGGUUAACACUAGUGACCAGAGAGGUCUAUGGGUCCUGGUUAACACUAGUGACCAGAGAGGUCUAUGGGUCCUGGUUAACACUAGUGACCAGAGAGGUCUAUGGGUCCUGGUUAACACUAGUGACCAGAGAGGUCUAUGGGUCCUGUUUAACACUAGUGACCAGAGAGGUCUAUUGGGUCCUGUUUAACACUAGUGACCAGAGGUCUAUUGGGUCCUGUUUAACACUAGU